GAUGAACGCUGGCGGCGUGCCUAAUACAUGCCAGUCGAGCGAACAGACGAGGAGCUUGCUCCUCUGACGUUAGCGGCGGACGAGUGAGUAACACGUGGAUAACCUACCUAUAAGACUGGGAUAACUUCGGGAAACCGGAGCUAAUACCGGCUCAUAUAUUGAACCGCAUGGUUCAAUAGUGAAAGACGGUUUUGCUGUCACUUAUAGAUGGAUCCGCGUCGCAUUAGCUAGUUGGUAAGGUAACGGCUUACCAAGGCAACGAUGCGUAGCCGACCUGAGAGGGUGAUCGGCCACACUGGAACUGAGACACGGUCCAGACUCCUACGGGAGGCAGCAGUAGGGAAUCUUCCGCAAUGGGCGAAAGCCUGAUGGAGCAACGCCGCGUGAGUGAUGAAGGUCUUCGGAUCGUAAAACUCUGUUAUUAGGGAAGAACAAAUGUGUAAGUAACUAUGCACGUCUUGACGGUACCUAAUCAGAAAGCCACGGCUAACUACGUG
rnacentral:rRNA from 1 species